rnacentral:rRNA from 1 species
GAUGAACGCUAGCGGGAGGCCUAAUACAUGCAAGUCGAACGGUAAAUGGUAGCAAUACUAUGAGAGUGGCGUACGGGUGCGUAACGCGUACACAACAUGCCUUGUACUGGGGGAUAGCAUCGGGAAACUGAGAUUAAUACACCAUAAUUUUACGAUGUGGCAUCACAUUGUAAUUAAAGCUCCGGCGGUACAAGAUGGGUGUGCGUCGGAUUAGGUAGUGGGUGCGGUAACGGCUCACCAAGCCGACGAUCGGUAGCUGGUCUGAGAGGACGAUCAGCCACACGGGCACUGAGACACGGGCCCGACUCCUACGGGAGGCAGCAGUAGGGAAUAUUGGACAAUGGACGCAAGUCUGAUCCAGCCAUCCCGCGUGAAGGAUUAAGGCCCUCUGGGUUGUAAACUUCUUUUCUUUGGGAAUAAAAAGCGGUAUUCAUAUCGCCUUGAAGGUACCAGGGGAAUAAGCACCGGCUAACUCCGUGCCAGCCGCCGCCGUAA